ACCAACCGUCAAACAAGGGUGG
rnacentral:snRNA from 1 species